rnacentral:tRNA from 1 species
GUUAAUGUAGCUUAAAACAAAGCAAAGCACUGAAAAUGCUUAGAUGGAUUCAUUAUCCCAUAAACA